UACGGAGGAUGCAAGCGUUAUCCGGAAUGAUUGGGCGUAAAGGGUCCGCAGGUGGCAGUGUAAGUUUGCUGUCAAAGAAUGAGGCUUAACCUUAUCAAGGCAGUGGAAACUACACAGCUAGAGUACGGUCGGGGUAGAAGGAAUUCCUGGUGUAGCGGUGAAAUGCGUAGAUAUUGGGAAGAACACCGGUGGCGAAAGCGCCUUGCUGGGUCUGCACUGACACUGAGGGACGAAAGCUAGGGGAGCGAAAGGG
rnacentral:rRNA from 1 species